AUCACCCAGGGAUCUUAUUAAAAUGCAGAUUCUGAUUCAUUAAGUCUUGAGUAGGGUUAAGAUUCUGCAUUUCUAACAAGGUCCCAGGUGAUGUCAA
rnacentral:pre_miRNA from 1 species